rnacentral:rRNA from 1 species
CCUACGGGAGACAGCAGUGAGGAAUAUUGGUCAAUGGACGCAAGUCUGAACCAGCCAUGCCGCGUGCAGGAAGACGGCUCUAUGAGUUGUACACUGCUUUUGUACGAGGCUACACGCAGAUACGCGUAUCUGUCUGAAAGUCUCGUACGAAUAAGGCUCGGCUAACUCCGUGACAGCAGCCGCGGUAAUCCGGAGGAUUCAAGCGUUAUCCGGAUUUAUUGGGGUUAAAGGGUGCGUAGGCGGUCGGAUAAGUUAGAGGUGAAAUCCCGAGGCUCAACUUCGGAAUUGCCUCUGAAACUGUUCGGCUAGAGAGUAGUUGCGGUAGGCGGAAUGUAUGGUGUAGCGGUGAAAUGCUUAGAGAUCAGACAGAACACCGAUUGCGAAGGCAGCUUACCAAGCUACUUCUGACGUUGAGGCACGAAAGCGUGGGGAGCAAACAGGAUUAGAUACCCGAGUAGUC